rnacentral:rRNA from 1 species
UAGGGAAUCUUCCACAAUGGACGCAAGUCUGAUGGAGCAACGCCGCGUGAGUGAAGAAGGUUUUCGGAUCGUAAAGCUCUGUUGUUGGUGAAGAAGGAUAGAGGUAGUAACUGGCCUUUAUUUGACGGUAAUCAACCAGAAAGUCACGGCUAACUACGUGCCAGCAGCCGCGGUAAUACGUAGGUGGCAAGCGUUGUCCGGAUUUAUUGGGCGUAAAGCGAGCGCAGGCGGAAGAAUAAGUCUGAUGUGAAAGCCCUCGGCUUAACCGAGGAACUGCAUCGGAAACUGUUUUUCUUGAGUGCAGAAGAGGAGAGUGUAAUUCCAUGUGUAGCGGUGGAAUGCGUAGAUAUAUGGAAGAACACCAGUGGCGAAGGCGACUCUCUGGUCUGCAACUGACGCUGAGGCUCGAAAGCAUGGGUAGCGAACAGG